UACGUAGGUGGCAAGCGUUAUCCGGAAUUAUUGGGCGUAAAGCGCGCGCAGGCGGUUUCUUAAGUCUGAUGUGAAAGCCCACGGCUCAACCGUGGAGGGUCAUUGGAAACUGGGGAACUUGAGUGCAGAAGAGAAAAGCGGAAUUCCACGUGUAGCGGUGAAAUGCGUAGAGAUGUGGAGGAACACCAGUGGCGAAGGCGGCUUUUUGGUCUGUAACUGACGCUGAGGCGCGAAAGCGUGGGAGCAAACAGG
rnacentral:rRNA from 1 species